UGAGCAUUGCACAUUCAUUUAGAUCCA
rnacentral:piRNA from 1 species